AUUGAACGCUGGCGGCAUGCCUUACACAUGCAAGUCGAACGGCGGCACGGGUGCUUGCACCUGGUGGCGAGUGGCGAACGGGUGAGUAAUACAUCGGAACAUGUCCUGUAGUGGGGGAUAGCCCGGCGAAAGCCGGAUUAAUACCGCAUACGAUCUACGGAUGAAAGCGGGGGACCUUCGGGCCUCGCGCUAUAGGGUUGGCCGAUGGCUGAUUAGCUAGUUGGUGGGGUAAAGGCCUACCAAGGCGACGAUCAGUAGCUGGUCUGAGAGGACGACCAGCCACACUGGGACUGAGACACGGCCCAGACUCCUACGGGAGGCAGCAGUGGGGAAUUUUGGACAAUGGGCGAAAGCCUGAUCCAGCAAUGCCGCGUGUGUGAAGAAGGCCUUCGGGUUGUAAAGCACUUUUGUCCGGAAAGAAAUCCUUGGCCCUAAUACGGCCGGGGGAUGACGGUACCGGAAGAAUAAGCACCGGCUAACUACGUG
rnacentral:rRNA from 1 species